GUAAAAACCUCUCAAGCUCUGACAAUCUGUGGAAACAUACAGGCUCCGGAGGCAAAUCCUGAACUUGAAUAAAGAGCUCAGGGCAGCUGUGGAGAAGCUGCUGUGGGUUGCUAUCUGGACAUCCCAAAUCACUGGCUGAGACAUGGGGCAGACGCAGGGAAACUGGUGAGACAGUCCCCCCAGGGUGUGUAUAUGGAGGAAGAGUGUGCCUGUAGCAUCUACUGUCCGUCGUGUCUCUUACACAUAAUACUCCCUAAAGCCAGGCUGUCCCUCCACCCCUGGCUGGAGACACACUACUUUUGGUCAUCACGUGUUCAGGGUGAUGGGCUCCUGCCUACAUCUAGCUCAAGCCAGUAGGCAAGCCAACAAAGAACUGUCCCACUUGGCCCUGAGUGUGAUCACAGCAACAGGCGCCGGGACCACAGGGAUUCAGGAGCCCUCUGCCUGAGAGUUGAUCCUGUCGCACACCCUGGACACCCCCAGCUGCAUCUUCCCUGCAGGACAUCCCAAGUCCAGGUGGCACAGGGAAGAGCUCUCAUCAACGCUCACCACUCAGGACACAGCGUACGGAAGCAGCCGCUCAACAGGUGCACAGCUGCCCUCCCCCACCCCCACCCAGCCAGAGCCACACCUGCCCCUUAGAUACCAACCAGCUCGCUUUCAAAAUCUUGUUGCCCGAAAGAGGAAGACGAUGACAAUCUCUGGAAUCUGGACUCACUAGAAACACAAAAGGGAAGAGUGACAGGAAAUUAUUUUUAAAAGUCCAAAACCCGAUGUCCAACGUCAGGUAUCUUGCCACCUCUUAGAGCUCCAGACCAAAGCUACUGGCACUCCUCCAAGUCUGGCACAAAAUGUAACAGUUCGUGAAACAUGCAGACAAGGGCAAUGACCACUACAUGUAGGGAUGUAACACUACAUCACAAGGGACAAGUGGCAAGGGGUCGGCAUCAGCAGAUCGUCUCUGUGCCCUGCACCCUGGGGCCUCAGCACCCCAAUGCAUCUAUCUAAAGUGUCUUCAGAGUUCAAUGUCUGCAAUACAUUUCUCAAUGUGUUAAACAAAACUUAGAACAAAGGCUGUAUUUUAUCCAAUCUACAAUUCCACUGGUUAUAAGGGACAUAACUAUUUUGUUUUAAAGAUUUCAUUUAUUUCUUUGAGAGAGAGAGCACAAACGGGGAGGGGGAGGGGCAGAAGGAGAAGGAGACUCCCCACUGAGCAGGGAGUCCAACGUGGGACUCGAUCUCAGGACCCCAAGAUCAUGACCUGAGCUGAAGGCAGAUGCUUCACCGACUGAGCCACCCAGGCACCCCAAGGGACAGAAGUAUUUUAUUUAUUUGCUUCUGCAAAUGCCAGAACUGAGGCUUUGAGGAAGGAAGGUGCUUUUACAGGCCCAGUCCCUCCCACACAGUAUGCAUUUCAACACGGCAGCAGCCCCUAGAGCAAAAGUGGCAGGUGUCGCAGGGUGAGCACCAGAGGAGGCCCAGGUGGAGCAACCUGGCACACGUGGCUUUCCCUGAUGGCUUCCUAUUCUGCAUCUUACACAAGAUCCGGGCUGUGUGACAACAGCUGGGGUUGGAAACACCAGUAUGCAGACCUAGAAUACACCCCCUUCCGGGGUCAUGAGCCGAGAGCCAGCAGAGCCAGGAGAGGUACGGCCAAGGGGGUCUCCAUUCUGCCACAGACUCACCUGAUGCUGGCUUAGGGAGGGCCAUCAGCCUACACCAACCCGGAGCAAGGACAAGGGCCUCUCCCUAUGGCCCUACCACCCUUCCUAACCCUUCUUGCCUCCUCCCCAACCCCAAAGUAGCACAUUUCAAAGAAGAGACACUUGAAAAUAUUCAAGGUGAGAAAGAAAACUGGCAUCAUUUGCAGGCAAUACUGACAGCUCCACAUACGGAAAGCAAUCAGGUCUCCUCCAGAGCCUGAAACCAACAAGGUUCCAGCCACGGCCAGGCCAAGGCCAUGGCCCAAGGGCAGCACUUCUGGCACUGGCUUGGCUCACUCAGUGAGCGCAAUCUAGUGUCAGCAUCACGUGUGGGCCGCCAGCCUGUCCCAGUCUCUCUCUCUCUCUCUCUCUCUCUCUCUCUCUCAUACACACACACACACACACACACACACUCUCGAGGUGAUGUGUCUUUGUUACCUGUCUGCUUCUGACACCAGGGCAAUACGGCCAUAAUCCCAGAAUUUCCUUCUUAUGAUGGAAAACACGAAUAUUAAACACUAAAAGGAGAAAAGAAACCAAGGACAAGCAUCUCAGGUGACUUCUAAUUAGAGAGUCAGCGAUCUUAGAGACUUGCCUAAACUCAAUGGGGCUAGAAGGGCCCAGAGAGGGUGCUGAGCUGCCCAUGGCCACACAGCUGCAUGGUUGGAUGCUCUGCUCACCUCAUUCGCUAGCGCCUGUCGCAGGCCACCCAUGCUGCGCUAAGCUUGCCCUGGCGCUCUUCUUGUCAAGCACAUUGCCCUGUUCUUCGCUCUCAGGGCGGCAUCAACAGACGCGACCUUCCGCAGCCCUGAUCAGCCUUCUGCUGCUCCCAAGCAGGAAGGCAAGAUCUGGCCUCAUAGCUGCCCUGGGGACCAGCCUCCUUCUUCACUUUACACAAACUUGCAUUUUUAAUUACAAGAGCAGAAGCCUGAAGCCCAUAUGAGCAGUGACACACACAGUGACAGCAGGAAAGCAGCAGAGUUGGCAUUUACACUCAGGAACAAGAGUCUUGAGGGCAAGAAAAGGCACAGACAACCCAACCUGGUGUUUGGACUACCUGACUUGGCAAUGGCUGGAGUAAGUGAUGCCAGAGCCGUGGAGUCGGUGGUUCUGAACAGAGCAGACGACCUCUGAGAGACAGUUCUUGUUGGUUUCCCUGCUUUAAAUGUCACCCAGCGGCACCAUCCCAACAGAAGGGCCCGGCCUGACUCUCUGCGGCCAGCUCCCGCCCCUCCUCCCCGCUCCACACUCACCAGAUGCCAGGAAGGAAAAACUGUGGGCACUGCUGGAGCUGGGGAGUGUCCACUCCCAAGAGUGAGCUGGCUGUGGACUCCAGAAAAGCCUCUGAGUUCAGGAUCUCCUCUGGGUCCCAAGGGCAGCUGCCAUCCGAGGACUAGAUUCAGGAAAAGGGACACAGCAGAACAAGCAAGGGAGGCUUGAAAAGUGACGUGGGAAGAAAAAAGUCAUCCUCAUAAAAUGCCCACAGAGGGAGCACUGUCCCUGGAAGGGAGAGGCUGAGCUCUAGAAGAGCAGAGCCCCCCCACCCACCAGGAAGUACCUGUGACCCCUCCCUCUUCACCCUCCAGCUCCAGACACGCCUCUACAGGACUCUCCUCCUGCCAAACAGGCUCCUCCCAGUGGCUUUACGAAGUUGGAAAGAACUCCCGAGGUCACCCAGCAAAUAGUGCCGGCCUGGGAGGGAGCCUCGGGGUGCCUGCAGGGUCAGCCCCUUCCAGGGGAGGCACCCAUGUGAGGGCAGAGCUUUAGAGGCCUGCCCCGCCUCUCCAGCCUUCCAGCUCAGCAAGACCACAAGCAGUUCCGGCCCUGCUGCCACAGGAGCUAAAUGGGAUCUUCCAGAUGCAGGAGGUGGUUGCGAAGUGAACACGACGUUCUCAAAGCACCGCCAGACUUUUCAAAAGCUCCUGGCUUUUAUUUUAAGUCACUCCUCCAGCUAACGGAGGACUCCAUCCGACGCUCCCACUGUCAGAGCCCGUUCAAGAGAGACCUUUGCCCCAACACCAGGCAAACAAGACGCCAUGUGAGCAGGAAAGGGAGCCCUGCUUCUGUUGGCAUCCUCUGGGGGCACCCAGGGCUCCAACAGGUGCGGGGGGCGGGGGAGAGGGGGACAAACUCGGUGGGACAGGACACCUGGAGGGAAAGGGGGAAACCCUGGUUGCGCAGUAAAGCUGACAGGGAGUCUGUCCCCAUCCCCCGUGAGUGUCUUCAGCCCUGCAGGAGCCAGCGCCCCAAGGAGCCCGCAGCGCCCUCCACAGCCCCCUGCGACGCAGGCAGGGAUGGGUGAGCACGGACCCUGGGCCCUGGCACCCAGUCACACAACUUGGCAGUCACUUGGUCCACUGCACCGGGCAUUCCUGCCCUUGAGGACACUACCUGCAGCCGAAGGGGAAGGCCACCCCACGCCCCAGUCUCAGGUAGCCAGUCUUCUCAGGUCCCCAACCCCAGUGGCUCUGGUUUCUGGGCAGAGCUGUCCUCACCCUUCCGGAAGCCCUGGGCUCCCCAGGCCCGGGCAGGGGUCACCGCCGGGCAGUCCCAGAGGCUUCCACCUUCCACCUGUCCCCCAGCGCAAGGCACCCAAGCGCCAGCCCCUUCCCAGUCCUGCGGGGCCCAGGGUCCGCGAAGGAAGUGCCCCCCCUUCCCAGGGCUGGGA